rnacentral:rRNA from 1 species
CCUACGGGAGGCAGCAGUGAGGAAUAUUGGUCAAUGGACGAGAGUCUGAACCAGCCAAGUAGCGUGAAGGAUGACUGUCCUAUGGGUUGUAAACCUCUUUUAUAAAGGAAUAAAACGAGGCACGUGUGCCCUUUUGCAUGUACUUGAUGAAUAAGGAUCGGCUAACUCCGUGCCAGCAGCCGCGGUAAUACGGAGGAUCCGAGCGUUAUCCGGAUUUAUUGGGUUUAAAGGGAGCGUAGACGGGUUGUUAAGUCAGUUGUGAAAGUUUGCGGCUCAACCGUAAAAUUGCAAUUGAUACUGGCAGUCUUGAGUACAGUUGAGGUAGGCGGAAUUCGUGGUGUAGCGGUGAAAUGCUUAGAUAUCACGAAGAACCCCGAUUGCGAAGGCAGCUUACUAAACUGUGACUGACAUUGAUGCUCGAAAGUGUGGGUAUCAAACAGGAUUAGAUACCCCAGUAGUC